CUGGUUCGUUGAUUAAAGGAUCAGCAGUCGCCCUCGUAGCAUGCUGAUCCCCGUAUGGGCCACCA
rnacentral:pre_miRNA from 1 species